UAUACAAAAUUCUUAACAUAAUGUAAUUAAAACUCUUAAACUAAUAUCCUUCAAAAAAUUUCUACUAAAGUUACAAUUCAAUCAAAAACCCAAUUUCGUCCCCCGUACGCACUUCAAGCAAAAACUUCAAAGCAUAGAUCAUCUCUUCUUUGGUACCUAAAAUGUUAGUGUAAGGGUCAAUUUCCUUAUCCAAAUUGGUUCAUACUCAAAGCACAAGAACAAUGCCACAAAAUAGAUAGUAUCAAAACUUCUCAAUCAAAAAGAAAUAAGAAAAAUACAUUUAAGUCUUUAAGGUAAAGUUCAUACACAUUUCUUUUGUAUAUAUAACAGUUUAAUCACUUAUCAACACACAGAUGAAUAACAGACCCAAUGCAAUGCAAUGAUGUGUAAAAUGCAUGCUCUUAGAUACUACAUGAUCC
rnacentral:lncRNA from 1 species